UCCAGGCAGGGAGCCAUAAUAGAGUACAGUAGGCCUAAUACAUCUCUAAACGCACAAUUUCUCUUCCAAUAACUUUGCCCUCAGCUGACGCUCCAAGGGUUGCUGUGCAUCGGUAUCUGCAAAUCGAAUCUUUCCACUUUUAUGUUGAGUGGCAAGAAAAUGUGUUUGUACUAGUGAAUUUUACGAGUUCGGCUAUAUACUCGUCUACUGAAUAUUUUAUGACACAAUACAGUUUUACGGUGGUGGACAGUACUAAAGGAUUUCAUUUCCGAAAAUCUUCAAUCUGUUUGACCGAUCAAAAUGCGCAUUUGGCACCUUCAACGAUUUCCUCAGCAUGUUUUCAUCAUACCAGCAUUCAUCGCACUUGUCUCUUUGACAGGUAAU